UGUUUGCCUGGCGAUUUAAUUUUCAGCCUAGGUAUGAUUUGGUCUCCCUGUUGGAUGGUGUCUGCUUUCCAUUUGCUGGGGGUUGUUCACAAGGUCCAAGGACAUGACAAGAGGCUGCCAGCAGGACAACAGCAAGCCUUGGAACACGGCACUUGCCUCUCAGCCUGCUGCAUUUGCUCUACUUCAAGGAGGAAGGGGCAACCAGCCCAGCUCAAUUUGCCUGGGGGCUUUUGACUCUACAAUCUCUUCCAACAUUAAACAAGUGAAUCCUGUGCACCCUGGUGAGUUUGCAAACCUUGACAGAUGUUUCUUUCCAAAAACAUGCAGGCCCAACAUCCCUUGAAAACCUUAAAUGUAUGAUGUUCUCUCUCUCUCCUUUCUCCACAUUGUUUAUUUACUCAUUUUACUAAAAUGCAUACUAAGUACCCUGUUGAGCUUGGUCCUCAGAUAACAUCGUAUGGAUAUAUUUAAGGUUUUAAAAAAUAGUUUAUCAUUGUUUUUUAUUUUUUCUUUCAUUUAUCCCAGGUUAGAACUGUUUAGUGGCCAUGGAAUAUUCCUCUGGACAAUUCAUCUGUGGCAUCAUAUUAUGAUCUAAAUUUAUUAUGAGAGGUUGGUUGGUAUAGCUAAACAAAAAGGUACAAUGGGACAUAUCACAAGGGCACACUUUGUAUAGGCUCCAGAAGGCAGCUUUUAAAAUCAGUUGAGUCACUUAUCAACCAUAUUAGAAAUAAGCACAUUGAUUUCUAAGUAUUCAGAGUCUGGAUAAAGAUAAUUAUCUUCAUAACCUCCUACUGUAAUCAGGAUAUAGUUAGGCCAUGGGAUUUGUGUCCCAACCACUUUAUGAGUACUAAUAAUGCAACUAUUAGCAGCUAAUACCUGUAGUACCCUGAUAUGUGUCCAGACCUACACUUAGCACACUAUGUACAUUACCUUAUUAAACAGAGACAACGAGGUGAAGUGGGUAUUAUCACAUCUGUUACACAAAUGAGGACACUGAGGCGCACAGAAGUUGGGUCAUUUAUUCAAGAAGCAGGGCUGGUAACUAGAACAACAGAGAUUUGGAUCUAAGCUUUUCUGAUUCCAAAGCCGGGUGAUAUGGUGUGGAUGUUUGUCCCCUCCAAAUCUCAUGUUGAAGUGUGAUUCCCAAUGUUGGCACUGGGCCUGGUGGAAGGUGAUUGGAUCAUGUGGGGCAGAUCCCUCAUGAAUGACUUAGUGCCCUCUCCUUGGUGAUGAAUGAGUUCCUGCUGCCAGUUCACAGGAGAG
rnacentral:lncRNA from 1 species